rnacentral:rRNA from 1 species
GACGAACGCUGGCGGCGUGCUUAACACAUGCAAGUCGAACGGAAAGGCCCUGCUUUUGUGGGGUGCUCGAGUGGCGAACGGGUGAGUAACACGUGAGUAACCUGCCCUUGACUUUGGGAUAACUUCAGGAAACUGGGGCUAAUACCGGAUAGGAGCUCCUGCUGCAUGGUGGGGGUUGGAAAGUUUCGGCGGUUGGGGAUGGACUCGCGGCUUAUCAGCUUGUUGGUGGGGUAGUGGCUUACCAAGGCUUUGACGGGUAGCCGGCCUGAGAGGGUGACCGGCCACAAUGGGACUGAGAUACGGCCCAGACUCCUACGGGAGGCAGCAGGGGGAAAUAUUGCACAAUGGGCGGAAGCCUGAUGCAGCAACGCCGCGUGCGGGAUGACGGCCUUCGGGUUGUAAACCGCUUUCGCCUGUGACGAAGCGUGAGUGACGGUAAUGGGUAAAGAAGCACCGGCUAACUACGUG